CAAAUUUGUCAAAACUCCAUUAUCUCUCUCUCACGCUGUUCUUUUUCUUUUUCCAUCACUUUCCCCGUCAGCUUCUUCUUCAAAUCUUUCUUUUUCUGUGCACUUUAGUCCCCUUUCUCGCAUCCUUCUCGACCUACAAACUUUCUUGAGAUUAGAUUUGACUUUCAAUCACACUAGAAAUACUUCUACCUGCCAUUCGUUAUCUCUCUAAAACGUUGUCAUCGAAAUCGUUUUCUCAAAUCGCCAAAUUCACAUCCAAAACAAACCAACCGCACCACCACCGCAAUGUUUAUGCUCGUGAAUUGUUCCAACUGCCACACGCCGUUACAGCUACCUCCUGGGGCCCAGUCGAUCCGUUGCGCCAUCUGCCGCGGUGUCACACUCAUCGCAGACCCAAGAUCACUUCCUCCACCUGGAUCCUCCCACCAACCAUACCCUCCUCCAUCUUCCUCCACUGCUUCCUCUCCGUAUAAUCACGCGCCUCCUGGAGCGCCACCGCAAGUGCAUGGCCGUAAAAGAGCGCUCAUCGUUGGCGUGUCGUAUACCAAUUCAAGGCACGAGCUCAAGGGUUGUCUUAAUGACGCCAAGUGUAUGAAGUACUUGCUGAUUAACCGAUUUAAGUUCCCCGAGUCCUCAAUUGUUAUGCUCACUGAAGAAGAAACUGAUCCCUACAAGCGUCCUACUAAAUAUAACAUGAGAAUGGCAAUGUAUUGGCUUGUUCAAGGAUGUCAACCAGGUGAUUCAUUGGUGUUCCAUUAUUCUGGUCAUGGUUCGCAGCAGAGGAACUACACUGGUGAUGAGAUUGAUGGAUAUGAUGAAACUCUUUGUCCUGUGGAUUUUGAAACCCAAGGAAUGAUUGUUGAUGAUGAGAUCAAUGCAACUAUUGUGAAGCCACUUCCUCGAGGGGCCAGGCUUCAUGCAAUUAUAGAUGCUUGCCAUAGUGGAACUGUGUUAGAUUUACCAUUUCUCUGUAGAAUGGACAGAUAUGGGAAGUACAUAUGGGAGGACCAUCGUCCUCGAUCAGGAAUGUGGAAAGGCACAAGUGGUGGAGAGGCUAUAUCCUUCAGUGGCUGUGAUGACGAUCAAACCUCUGCUGAUACAUCGGCUUUAUCAAGAAUUACAUCAACAGGUGCCAUGACUUAUUCUUUCAUCCAGGCUAUUGAGCGUGGACAUGGAAAUACAUAUGGGAACAUUCUAAAUGCAAUGAGGUCAACAAUUCGACACACAGACAGUCAGAUUGAUGGUGGUGUUGUAACAACUCUAAUCACCAUGCUUUUGACAGGAGGGAGCGUUGGUGGCGGAUUGAGACAGGAACCUCAGUUGAGUUCAAAUGAACCAUUUGAUGUGUAUACAAAGCCCUUCUCCCUAUAAAUAGUGAAACGGUAUAUUUGUGGUGAAGCUCUUGAUUUGAUUCAAGCAGGUGACUGGAGAUGUGCACAGUUGUUGAGAAAACACAAUACUUUUAGGAAACCAUGAUAUGUGAUGUACGUAUUGAUGAUUACUUCUCAAGUGGGAGAGAAUGGAAGCCACAGACUUUCUGAUAGAUACAGAAAAUGUUUUCUGCAUUAUCUCAUAGGUUUGAAAUGAAGUGGCCCGUGAAAAAAAGUCAGGUCAGUUUAUGCAUGAUACGUCAUUCGGUCUUAGAAAAUGUAUCCGUCUAGUAAAUGUUUUAAACAAGCUGGUGGGUGGAGCUUGCGCCUGCAAGUCUGUAUUGAACAGGCUCACACAUCGGAUUGAAUCUGUCCAGCGUGUCAAACCUUGACUCUUCAUUCUCGAUCUUCUUCGCUAGCUCACCCAGCCUUGCUUCCAUGGUUGAUAUUCCUUCAGCCAACCCUCUGUAUCCUUGCUUCGAUGCCUCUGCAUGCCCGUCUGUUCUUUUCAUAACCGUGUAUACCAAUUUGAUGCAAACCCAAGACAAAAUUCUACUUCCUUCUAGCAAAUUCCACUUGAACAUGAAAAAGAUAAAAUCAGUCAUAAGGUUUUCCAACAGAUUCAAAACCAGAACUCGACCAUAAAAAAUGCAGUAUGUUUUAGGAAACAAAACUCAAAACAGAGGUCAAUGGAAACUAUAUAACACAAUUGUUAAAUUGGUAAACUGCUGACGAAAUUGGGGAAAAUGGAGAAUGUCUGUGUUGAUGGAAUUUUGUAUCUACAACCACAAUCUCUUGCAAAAUCACCAUAAAAAAGUAAAGAAACAAAGGAGGAACCCACUGACUUUUUGACAGGCCAGUUCUCUCUCAAAACAGAUCCCACGGUAAUCACAAAAUUCUUCUCCUUUCUUUAACCUGUCUCCCAUCUUUUUUAUUAUUUCCUCGUAACAGUUCACUGAACAGGUUAAACCAUAGGUCUAAUAACUAAUUCUAGGCUGAAAUGUUCCAAUCUAUUAUGUCAAAUUACAUCCGUUGAAAUGGUGACAUGAUAAACACAUUACUUGCAAAACACGGCUAGACACUUUGAUUAUUUUUUUGGGGUGAUUUCCGGUUGAUUAUUUUAGUUAACCCAUCAUCAUACUACACUUACAUGUAGUGUUAAUUACAUACUUUCAAGCGUUUUUCAGUUUCAUUGGUCUAAUAACGAAAGAGGUUACUUUAAGCCCAAGCAUCUUCUUGGUGUGCUCAUUUAAGUUAAUGUGUGGGUUGCAGGAUGCUCUGGACCC